UACGGGAGGCAGCAGUGGGGAAUAUUGCACAAUGGGCGCAAGCCUGAUGCAGCCAUGCCGCGUGUAUGAAAAAGGCCUUCGGGUUGUAAAGUACUUUCAGUCGUGAGGAAGGUGUUAAGGUUAAUAACCUUAGCAAUUGACGUUAGCGACAGAAGAAGCACCGGCUAACUCCGUGCCAGCAGCCGCGGUAAUACGGAGGGUGCGAGCGUUAAUCGGAAUUACUGAGCGUAAAGGGCACGCAGGCGGUUAAUUAAGUUGGAUGUGAAAUCCCCGGGCUUAACCUGGGAAUGGCAUUCAAGACUGGUUAGCUAGAGUCUUGUAGAGGGGGUAGAAUUCCAUGUGUAGCGGUGAAAUGCGUAGAGAUGUGGAGGAAUACCGGUGGCGAAGGCGGCCCCUGGACAAAGACUGACGCUCAUGUGCGAAAGCGUGGGGAGCAAACG
rnacentral:rRNA from 1 species